rnacentral:rRNA from 1 species
CAAAACUCAAAAAAUAGAUCUCAGUUCGGACUGUAGGCUGCAACCCGCCUGCGUGAAGUUGGAAUUGCUAGUAAUCGCGGAUCAGCAUGCCGCGGUGAAUACGUUCCCGGGCCUUGUACACACCGCCCGUCAAACCAUGGGAGCCGGUAAUGCCCGAAGUCAGUAGCCUAACCGCGAGGAGGGCGCUGCCGAAGGUAGGAUUGGCGACUGGGGUUAAGUCGUAACAAGGUAGC